rnacentral:lncRNA from 1 species
GGCUGCGCAGGAGCGGACAGCGGAGAGGCGGUACUGACCGGUGCGAGGCGGUGCUGACCGGUGCGGGCCGGUGCGGGCCAGUGCAGGCCAGGCCCGGCCGGGGCGAGGCAGGUGGCCAGGUCCGAGGACCGCGUCGCACAGCAGCUUUCAGGACCUGGAGAGAAAUCGAGAUGAAGAAGGGAAGUCACUUGCUUCAUGGCCAGGGAAGGGCUCCAGCAAGACAUGGGCUCCUGAAAGUGACAGUGUGUGAAGGCCCGGAGAGGCACAGGACCUGUCCCCUCGCCCUCCUUGGAUUGCAGCAAGGAAAGAGGUGUGUCUUCCGCAGAAAAAUGUGCAUGUUCUUUUAGAUGUGUGGCCUCCGAGCAAGGUAUUUAGCCUGCCUCUAUGUGCUCACCUGGAAAAUGGGGUGAUGAAGAAGAUGAUGAUGAUAAUGGGAACUCCCUCUUGGAGCUGCUGUGCAGAUGAAUUUUCCUUCUAACAGUCAGGCCCCUCUGCUGCAAGUCUGCUGGAGUUUUCUGGAGGUCCACUCCAGACCUUGUUUGCCUGGGUAUCACCAGCCGAGGCUGCAGAACAGCAAAGAUUGCUGCCUGUUCCUUCCUUUGGAAGCUUUGUCCCAGGGAGGCACCCACCAGAUGCCAGCUGGAGCUCUUCUGUAUAAGGAAAAGUGGGCAAGUUUUGAGUUCAACGUGAGGCCUCAAGGAUGUGUGCAACCCAUGGUACUUGAAUUUACUUAUUGACUGUUUUUUGGAAAUCCUUAUUUCCCAAAACUCGUGGAAGGAGCUGACUUCUGGCAGGAAACGUGGAACUGGCAGCGUGUCGUGCAAGCAUCUGCAAUCCCAGUCCUGAGCUGGACUUCUCAGAGAGGCUGGGCAUUAUUUAUGGAGAUGUCGGAGUGACAGGGGGAACUUCUGGCCAGGAACUGCCGGUGGUGUCACAUCCUUAACCUGGCUGACAUCGGAACACCCUGGGGGGAGCAUUUCUCCAGGAAAGGAUGGUGGGUCAGGAGCCCGCAUGGUGUCUUUUCAAAGCAAUAAUAAAGAUAUCAGAAGGG